GUCUAGGGACUGCGGAGGAUCAUUAACGCGCAGGCCGGAGGCCGGCCCCCCAGGAUAGGGCCAAACGUCCGUCAGGGGUGAGCAGAUGUGCGCCGGCCGUACCGCCCCAUUCUUGUCUACCUUACUCGGUUGCCUCGGCGGGCCGCGCUCUCCCAGGAGAGCCGUUCGGCGAGCCUCUCUUUAUAGCGGCUCAACGCUGGACCGCGCCCGCCGGAGGACAGACGCAAAAAAAAAUUCUUUCAGAAGAGCUGUCAGUCUGAGCGUUAGCAAGCAAAAAUCAGUUAAAACUUUCAACAACGGAUCUCUUGGUUCCGGCAUCGAUGAAGAACGCAGCGAAAUGCGAUAAGUAAUGUGAAUUGCAGAAUUCCGUGAAUCAUCGAAUCUUUGAACGCACAUUGCGCCCCCUGGCAUUCCGGGGGGCAUGCCUGUUCGAGCGUCAUUUCAGCCCCUCAAGCCCGGCUUGUGUGAUGGACGACCGUCCGGCGCCCCCGUCUCUGGGGGUGCGGGACGCGCCCGAAAAGCAGUGGCCAGGCCGCGAUUCCGGCUUUCUAGGCGAAUGGGCAACAAACCAGCGCCUCCAGGACCGGCCGCCCUGGCCUCAAAAUCUGUUUUAUACUUAUCAGGUUGACCUCGGAUCAGGUAGGGAUACCCGCUGAACUUAAGCAUAUCAUAAGCCGGAAGGAAAUAUUUAGG
rnacentral:rRNA from 1 species